rnacentral:rRNA from 2 species
AGCAUGUGGUUUAAUUCGAAGCAACGCGAAGAACCUUACCAGGGCUUGACAUGCCGCUGACCGGUUUAGAGAUAGAUCUUACCCUUCGGGGUACAGCGGACACAGGUGGUGCAUGGUUGUCGUCAGCUCGUGUCGUGAGAUGUUGGUUAAGUCCCGCAACGAGCGCAACCCUUGUCUUUAGUUGCCAUCAUUAAGUUGGGCACUCUAAAGAGACUGCCGAUGACAAAUCGGAGGAAGGUGGGGAUGACGUCAAAUCAUCAUGCCCUUUAUGUCCUGGGCUACACACGUGCUACAAUGGUCGGUACAACGAGAAGCAAGUCAGCGAUGGCAAGCAAAUCUCUAAAAGCCGAUCCCAGUUCGGAUUGCAGGCUGCAACUCGCCUGCAUGAAGUUGGAGUUGCUAGUAACCGCAGGUCAGCACACUGCGGUGAAUACGUUCUCGGGCCUU